ACGUGGAAUACACAUGUUAGUAGAACUUUGAUUGCUCCAGAUGAUUUGAACCUCACUAAAAACAUUCCACUAAUUAAGCUGGAUUCAAUUUAUAUAUAAAGAUGGAUGGCGUUUUACACAAGCUGGCAAAUAUACGAUUAAUUCUGGAUAUGAAGUUGAACAGCUCUAUCCGGAUAGAACGAGAAAACCACAAAUAUUUGGUCCAUAUACUAAGGUUUUGCAGGUUUAUUCAUGGAAAAUUAAUUGUUCUCCAAAGUUAAAACACUUCCUCUGAUAUAUUAUUUUCAGGUUGUUUACCGGUAAGAAGAAAUCUCAAAUUUCGAAGGAUAAAGUGUGACACACAUUGUGAAAGAUGUGGAGCAGAUGAAAAAAGGAUAGACCAUGUUUUUAAUGUCCUCCAAAUGUUCAAGUUUGGGUCCUAUCAAGGUCCCCACGAACCCAUGGAGCUUCCAAAUGCAAUUGUUUUAUGAAUAUAGAUUAUCUGUUUUGGAGGAUUGCAUUGCUCAUAGAAAAUGCUCAAUUUGUUUGGAUUAUUUGGUACAUUUGGAAGGGAUGCAAUGAUAAAGUUUAUUAUGGUAUAAAUAAAGACCAUAGAGAUACUUUACGGUUGGUAGAGACAUAAGCAGACACUACUGUCUACUGAUAGAGGCAGCCUCUCUUCUUUACAUGCGGAAUUUGAAAUUUUUAUUUAGACAAUGGAAUGUACAAAAAAUCUCGGAUAAUUUCAAGUGACUUUUACCAUAGAUGGUUUUCGAUUAUUGAAAAUAGUUUUAGAACUAGAAGAAACUCUAUUUUUACAUCAUAUCUUAAAGAAAUACAACUGGUUAAGGAAAUUUUCAUAACCUUUGAAAUCAAACACAUACCCCAAACUCAAAACACAAAUACAGCCAAUCUUACACGAGGUGUUCAAAGUCAACCGACCUACGGGCUCUUUGGGAUCCGUAGAAGAAUCUGAUUAUUGUAUCCGUCAGAGCUUUUUGAAUUCUUCAUCAAUGGGUUGGUGGGAAGCUUCUCUCAAUUGGCUGCGUAGAAUGUUGGAUAUAGUGAAGACCUGGAUCCUAUUAUUGGUUUUCACAUGAGGGAAGUGAUAAAAAGAAAUGUUACUUUCAAGAUAUGGGAUGCUAGUGGGCAAUCAAGAUUCCGCAGCUCUUGGGAACGUUUUGUUCACGUUGGAGUCCUUUUGUCCUGCUACAGGUAUGUAGUUGAUGCUGCAGAUCUUACAAUCUGUUUAUCUCGAAAAAUGAACUCCAUAACUUGUGCAAGACUUCGCGUAACGGUAUCCCUCUUCUUGUUCUUGGGAACAAGAUGGACGAACCAGGAGCUCUCUUUCUUCAACUAUACCCACUCCAAAAACAGCACAAAAGUCAUCAGAUCAUGUUUUUUUUAAUUAAUGUAUAUAUAUAUAUAUACUGUGAUUGCAGGGGGCUUCAGUUGUUUACAGAUAGAGAAGUCUGCUGUUUCAUGAUAUCAUGCAAGAAGUAUGCCAACAUUGAUGAGGUCUUUGAUUGGCUCCUAAAGCAUUCAAAAUCAAAUAAGUUUCUCAGUCUUCUGUGUUGUGUGCCUUGUUCAAGACUAUUUUCUCGUGUGAAACAAGAGUUUGCCCCUGCUGCUGGUCUGUUCCAGUCUGGUCUGGUCUCUAUAUAAUGGAUUUUGCUUGAGCAUUUGCAAUUUUUUGGAAACAAUAUAUAAGCCACUAUAAAUUUUAAA